AACUGCUCACAACUUCCACAAACCUGGGGAAAAUGCUGCCUCGCCUACAAACAAUCUUAUGGAGGAAUCGAGAUCGCCAAAUGGAAGGAGGAGGAAGGAAUCCAGCGGAAGGAAAGCGAAGAAGUCCAAGGAAGAACGACGAAGAACUCUUCUCCUCCCCGCUUUUGUGCUGCUGCUACUUAUACUAGACCAGUGAAAAGAAUAAAAAUCCCUCCUUUCGCUCCAAUCCACCCCUCCCCAUUCCAUUUGGGCGAUUCCCUCUUCUCCCAUGCUCCAAUCUAGUAGGUCUUGUAUGGAUCCUCUGCGAGGAGCUGCCUGGUGGUGGCAUCCAUCUUCAAUCCCAGAUCCAUGACGCCCUGCUGCUCCGCGAGGGAGAGAUCAUCCAUCUCCAUCGCCGAAGACAUGGCCCCUGCUCCAAUUCGUGCUCCCUGCGCUGCCAUGGGCAUCGCCGCCGCGAUGACAAUGCCAAUCAGCAGCACCAGCGCUGCGAUCUUCCUGAGAAUCGCCUGCAAUGCCAUCGCGCCGAAGAGAUUUCGCUGCGGGCUGGAAAGAAAUUCUUCCCUCACUCUCUCGCGCAGAGCUCUCUCUCUCUCUCUCCCUGGCGAAAUAGGGUAAGCCCAGGGCCGGGUAUUUAUCUUCUGCAAUUACUCCAC
rnacentral:lncRNA from 1 species